ACACGUAGGGCGCAAGCGUUGUCCGGAUUUAUUGGGCGUAAAGAGCUCGUAGGCGGUUUCGUAAGUCGGGUGUGAAAACUCAGGGCUCAACUCUGAGACGCCACUCGAUACUGCGAUGACUAGAGUCCGGUAGAGGAGCAUGGAAUUCCUGGUGUAGCGGUGAAAUGCGCAGAUAUCAGGAGGAACACCAGUAGCGAAGGCGGUGCUCUGGGCCGGUACUGACGCUGAGGAGCGAAAGCGUGGGGAGCGAACCGGAUUAGAAACCCCAGUAGUCC
rnacentral:rRNA from 1 species